rnacentral:lncRNA from 1 species
GCCCCUUCCUCAGCAGCCCUUUGCGGACUCUCCACCAGCUGCCCAGCCAGCCCUUCACCGGUAAGCUAUUUGACCUAAGCCUUCGCUCUGUGUACUCUUGCAUGUUCUCAACAUGUUUGUGCCGAUUUCUAAGACCUUUUUGGCUAUGCCAUUUUUGUGUAUUUGCCUGUCAUCCAUUUUGCUUGAGUCUCUUCUACAUUCAUAUCAUGUCAUACUGUUUGUUGAUAUGUCUUUCCAUGCUUGUGCUGGUUUGGAUAUUGACUUAUGUCUGAGCCUUGUAUGUCCUUAUAUGCAUGUUCCUCCUUUUCCUUUAGUCUGGCCAUUUUCUGGGAUUUGUAAAUAGGAUGCUCUGGGCGUGAUGAAAAAUACAUUUGAGCCACAUGGAUGAUUGUA